rnacentral:rRNA from 1 species
AACGAACGCUGGCGGCAGGCUGAACACAUGCAAGUCGAGCGCCUCGCAAGGGGAGCGGCAGACGGGUGAGUAACGCGUGGGAACAUGCCCAAAGGUACGGAACAACUCCGGGAAACUGGAGCUAUUACCGUAUGUGACCGAGAGGUGAAAGAUUUAUCGCCUUUGGAUUGGCCCGCGUUGGAUUAGCUAGUUGGUGGGGUAAAGGCCUACCAAGGCGACGAUCCAUAGCUGGUCUGAGAGGAUGAUCAGCCACACUGGGACUGAGACACGGCCCAGACUCCUACGGGAGGCAGCAGUGGGGAAUAUUGGACAAUGGGCGCAAGCCUGAUCCAGCCAUGCCGCGUGUGUGAUGAAGGCCUUAGGGUUGUAAAGCACUUUCGCCAGGGACGAUAAUGACGGUACCUGGAUAAGAAACCCCGGCUAACUUCGUGCCAGCCGCCGCGGUAACAC